CAUCUUUACAUGCAGUGUGUUUUCCUCCCAAUGUUGCUGGCUGAUCUUCAUGCUUUAACUCUUUCAAAUCCUUGGACUGCUGAGGGGCUAGAGUUGGGAGCAACGAUGGGAUGGGAUUCCAUUUUCUCCCUUGCCUUGUCAAGUCUCCAGAGUAAGCAUUCCCCUUCUUUGAAAUAAAGAAAGUUGAAAAGAGGGCACUUCUUUUUCUGCCAAAGAUCUGGAAACACUUUGUCCCUGGAUGGACUUUCAGCCAAAUGAGGAUCUCCAUAGGAAUGGAAGAAAUCACACGCUCUGCUCCAGGAUCCUCCAUUUGCCAGGUCACAUUGCUUUACUUUGGAUUUCUACCAUCUGAGAGAAGGUCAGUCCAAAGACCUAAGACCUACCAUGGUGCUGCAGAUUGCUGAGCAACGCCAGGGAAUAUGUCCUCUUGUGUCUUUGCCAGGAACGAUUUUGGCUAUUAAACUGCAGAGUGAAUCUGACUGUUAAGAUCAAGAAAAUCUUGGAUACACGUUGAAUUAAUGCUAUAAACUUUCUUAUAUGUCUUCAGAUGCUUUGGAGGAAAUUAAAUAGACAAGGGGACUGAUUCCCAUCCAGUCUACUGCCAUUUGUGAAGUAAAAAUUACCUCUGAACACAGAGCUUCAUAGUAAUUGCAUAAUUAUUUUUGUUUUCUCAUCAAUGCCAGCCUGCUACGAGUGAGGUACAGCAGUCUGAAAAGAAGUAAUCUGAGAUGGAAUUCUAACAAAUUAAAAAAUAUUUCCUGCAGCCACCCCUCUUCUUUCUGAUUUGUAAAAAGCCAUUUCAAGAAUUUAUGGUGACACUGUAAAAAAAGUAAACUAAAGAUCAAUAUCUCUGAUGAAUGUAGAUGCAAAAAUCCUCCACAAAAUUCUAGCAAACUGUAUCCAACAAUACAUUUAAAAAAAUCAUUCUCCUCAAUCAAGUGGGAUUUAUUCCAAAGAUACAAGAGUGCUUCAAUAUUUGCAAGUCAAUCAACAUGAUACAUCACAUCAAUAAGAGAAAGGAUAAAAACCAUAUGAUCAUUUCAAUGGAUGCAGAAAAAGUAUUUGACAAAGUACAACAUCCAUUCAUGAUAAAAACUGUCAACAAAGUAGAUUUAGAGGGAACAUACCUCAACAUCACAAAGGCCAAAAUGAAAAACCGACAGCUAAAAUCAUACUUCAUGCAGAAAAACUAAGAACUUUUCCUCUAAGAUCAGGAAUAAGACAAAGAUGUCCACUUGUACUCUUUAUUCAACAUAGUACUGGAAGUCCUAGCCACAGCAAUCAGACAACAAAAAGAAAUAGUGCUUGCUUCUGCAGCACAUAAUUUAAAGAAUUGGAACAAUGCAUGGAAGAUUGGCAUGGCCACUGUGCAUGGAAGACAUACAAAUUUAUGAAGUGUUCCAUAUUUAAAAAAAAAAUCAGCCAAUCAAUAAAAGACAUCCAAAUUGGUAAGGAAGAGGUAAAACUUCCACUAUUUGAAGAUGAUAUGAUAGUGUAUAUUGAAAACCAUAAAGAAUCCACUAAAAAACUACUAGUACUGAUAAUUCAGUAAAAUCAUAGGGCACAAAAAUUAAUAUACAGAAACCAGUUGCAUUUCUAUAUAAUAAUAAUGAAGUAGCAGAAAGAGAAAGUAAUAAAACAAUCCCAUUUACACUUGCACUAAAAAGAACAAAAUACCUAGGAAUAAACUUAACUAAGGAGGUGAAAGGGCCUAUACUCCAAAAACUGUAGAACACUGAUGAAAGAAAUUAAAAAUGACAUAAACAAAUGAAAGAUGUUCCAUGCUCAUGGGUUGGAAGAACAAAUAUUGUUAAAAUGUCCAUUCUAGCCAAAGCAAUCUAUAAAUUUUAAUAUAAUCCCUAUCAGUAUUUUUCACAGAACUAGAACAAAUGAUCCUAAAAUAUGUAUGGAACCACAUAUUUUAAAGCCCAAAGAACCAAAGCAAUCUUGAAAAAGAAAAUCAAAGCUAGAGGUAUCACAGUCCCAGGUUUUAAGAUGUACUACAAAGCUGUAGCAAUCAAAACAGUUUGGUGCUGGCACAAAAAUAGACACAUAGGUCAACAGAAUAGAAUAUAGAGCCCAGAAAUAAAUCCAUGGUUUUAUGAACAAUUAAUCAAUCACAAAGGAAGCAAGAAGAUACAAUGGGGAAAAGGCAGUCUCUUCAACAAUGGUGUUGGAGAAACUGUACCACUUUCUAAUACUAUGCAUAGAAAUAAACUCAAAAUGGUAUAAGGACCUAAAUGUGAGACCUAAACCAUAGAAUUGCUGGAUGAGGGAUGCCUGGGUGGCUCAGUGUCUGAGCAUCUGCCUUUGGCUCAGGAUGUGAUCUCAGGGUCCUGGGAUCGAGUUCUGUACUGGGCUCCUUGCAGGGAGCCUGCUUCUUCCUCUUCCUAUGUCUCUGCUUCUCUCUGUGUCUCUCAUGAAUAAAUAAAUAAAAUCUUAAAAAAAUAAAAAUAAAAUUCCUAGACAAAAACAUAGGCAGUAAUCUCUUUAAUACCAGUUGUAGCAAUACUUUUCUAGAUAUGUCUCCUCAAGCAAGAGACUCAACAGCAAAAAUAAACUAUUGAGACUACACCAAAAUAAAAAGCUUUUGCACAGUGAAGGAAAGCAUCAACCAAACAAACAAACAACAAAAAAAACAACUUAGUAAAUGGGAGAAUGUAUUUGCAAAUGAUGUUUCCAAUAAAGGUUUAAUACCCAAAAUAUAUAAAGAUUCAUACAAUGCAACAUAAAAACCCCCAAAAUAAUCCAAUUAAAAAUGAGCAGAGGGUUACCCAGCUGGCUCAGUUGGUUAAUUGACUGGGUCUUGAUUUUGGCCCAGUGCCUUAGAAUUGAGGUCCACAUCAGGCACUGUGCUCAGGGGGCAGUCUGUGUGAGAAUUUUUUCUCCCUCUGCUCCUCCCCCUGCUCUCUCUCUUUCUCUCAAAUAAAUAAAUAAAUAAAUAAAUAAAUCUUUUUAAAAAAAUGAGCAGAGGAACUAAAAAGACAUUUUCUAAACAAGGUAUACAGAUGACCAAUAGAUACAUGAAAGGAUCGACAUCACUCAUCAUCAGGGAAAUGCAGAUCAAAACCACAAUGAGAUGUCACCAUACACCUGCCAAAAUAGCUAAAAUCAAAAUCAACAAGAAAUAACAAGUGUAGUGAGAAUGUGGGGAAAAGGAAUCUGUUUGUGUUGUUGAUGGAAAUGCAAGCUGGUGUAGCCACUGUGGAAAAUGUUAUGAAGAUUCCUCAAAAAAUUAAAAACAAUUACCAUAUGAUCCAGUAAUUUCACUUCUGGGUAUUUACCCAAAGAAAAUGAAAACACUAGUUAGAAAAGAUAUAUGUACCCCCUGGUUAUUCCAGCAUUAUUUAGAAAAGCAAGCUAUGGAAGCUGCCCACAUAUCCACUGGUAGAUGGAUGGAUAAGGAAGAUGUGGUAUAUAUACACAAUGAAAUAUUACUCAGCCAUAAAAAAAAGAGUGAAAUCUUUCCAUUCGCAGAAACAUGGAUGGACCUAGAGGGUAUAAUGCUGAGUGAAGAAAGUCCAUCAGAGAAAGACAAAUACCAUGUGAUUUCACCUGUGUGUCAAAUUUAAGAAACAGAAUGAACAAAGAAAAAAUAUACAAACAAACAAAGCCCAUACUCUUAACUAUACAGAACAAAUUGGUAGUUGUCAGAGGGAAGGUGAGCAGUGGGCUAUGUGUGAAAUGAGGGGAUUAAGAGUACACUUGUGAUGAGCAGUGAGCAAUGGAUACAAUUGUUGAAUCAUUACGUUGUACACCUGAAGCUAAUAUAGCACUGUAUGUUAAUUAUA